rnacentral:rRNA from 1 species
AUUGAACGCUGGCGGAAUGCUUUACACAUGCAAGUCGAACGGCAGCACGGACUUCGGUCUGGUGGCGAGUGGUGAACGGGUGAGUAACAUAUCGGAACGUAUCCAAUAAUGGGGGAUAACGAGUCGAAAGAUUCGCUAAUACCGCAUACGCCCUACGGGGGAAAGCUGGGGACCCUCGGGCCUGGCGUUAAUGGAGCGGCCGAUAUCUGAGUAGCUAGUUGGUGAGGUAAAGGCUCACCAAGGCGACGAUCAGUAGCUGGUCUGAGAGGACGACCAGCCACACUGGAACUGAGACACGGUCCAGACUCCUACGGGAGGCAGCAGUGGGGAAUUUUGGACAAUGGGCGCAAGCCUGAUCCAGCCAUUCCGCGUGAGUGAAGAAGGCCUUCGGGUUGUAAAGCUCUUUCGCAAGGGAAGAAAACUUAGCCACUAACAUUGGUUGAGGUUGACGGUACCUUGAUAAGAAGCACCGGCUAACUACGUGCCAGCAGCCGCCGUAA